UGCCUGCGGAGGGAUCAUUACCGAGUUAUCCAACUCCCAACCCCUGUGAAUUAUACCUUUAAUUGUUGCUUCGGCGGGACUUCGCGCCCGCCGGGGACCCAAACCUUCUGAAUUUUUUAAUAAGUAUCUUCUGAGUGGUUAAAAAAAUGAAUCAAAACUUUCAACAACGGAUCUCUUGGUUCUGGCAUCGAUGAAGAACGCAGCGAAAUGCGAUAAGUAAUGUGAAUUGCAGAAUUCAGUGAAUCAUCGAAUCUUUGAACGCACAUUGCGCCCGUCAGUAUUCUGGCGGGCAUGCCUGUUCGAGCGUCAUUACGCCCCUCAAGUCCCCUGUGGACUUGGUGUUGGGGAUCGGCGAGGCUGGUUUUCCAGCACAGCCGUCCCUCAAAUCAAUUGGCGGCCUCGCCGUGGCCCUCCUCUGCGCAGUAGUAAAACACUCGCAACAGGAGCCCGGCGCGGUCCACUGCCGUAAAACCCCCCAACUUUUUAUAGUUGACCUCGAAUCAGGUAGGACUACCCGCUGAACUUAAGCAUAUCAAUAGGCCCGGAG
rnacentral:rRNA from 1 species